UCGACGGACAAACACGAUAACAGCAAGCGUGUCUCAAAGGAAGCAAAAUCAUUGCCGCAUGUUUUUCCUUCAGCAGAUACAGAAGCCUUUUGUUAUUUCCUCCAGUGGUUGCACCAUUAUGGUACAAGCGCCACUUUUUUCCCUUAAAAGGAAAUCCUUAGAACCCCGCCUCCUGCCUAUGGGAGGGAAUGGAUAUUCUGUGACAGCAACAGACCGUUAUUCCUGGAAACACAAGAACUCUACUUUAAAAUCGAACUGGAAACGUCAUGGUGCUGACCCAGAUAUACAGCCAGAAACAUUGGACAUAAAUGGUCACAGCAGCAUUAAAACCUCUGCUGUUGGCUGGUGCUGAACUGGUCUAUCUGAUCCCAGACCAGCUGUGAAGAUAAGAUCCCCAGCCUGUGCCCCGAGUUCCUGACGCCUCUUCAUCGCCUGUACACCACACAGCAGAGAGCAAACAUCAGACCGUCUGUAUACUGUAUUAUUACCUGUCAAGAGACUACACAUAUUUUGGGUAUUGCUAGACCUUGUGCAAUUGCAGCCAGUUUGCUUUUCUCAUCUGGGCUGAGUUGCAACAUUGUGUGAAUGACAGGAAGCAGUGCCUGCCUCUCGCUGCCUGAUCGCAGGAAGAUGAACUGCAGCAAAACGUUCUUUAGAUACUCCAGGUUUGCCAUGCUCUUCUCCCGUUCCUGGUUACGCUCCAACCGACGUACUUCACUCUUUAACAG